GUCCGUAAAGGUGGAUGAGUGGUGUUUGGUUUGUCACGUGUGGUUGGCUGCGGCGUUUGCAACAACUUCCAUGCUUUCAGACCUCUUCAGUUGUGCGGCAAGGCUUGUAUCGCCUUGCUGUAUUGUGGGUUUUCUGUGUUGAAUACCUAAUCAAUGGUAUCGGUUGGAUUGAUCAAUGUUUCAUUUCGUCUGUCGUCGCAUUCGCGGCGUGAGACGAACCUCGAUGCGGUCUCUUUGGUCCACCUCGUCGAAGCACAUGCUUUGACGUUGUGGCACAUUGAGCAUUGCUUGGUCUCUUGUAUACGGAACAUAUAGUGGGCAUGGAUCUAACGAUUCUUGUUUGCCCUCAUGUUAGCGUAACGCUUCUCUUACACGACUUGCUCCACGUUUUAGCUCGUACGGACGUGGU
rnacentral:misc_RNA from 1 species